AAUCUUUGCUUUGGCUGGGCCGUCUUCUGGUUGGGCCCAUGUGGUUGUGCCCUAAAGAGCUUCGGCCAAGCAGAUGAGGGGAAAAACAGAAAAAGGAAAUAAAAUCCCCUCCGAGGGAGGCGGCUGCGGCGGCUGAAACCCUAUCUCCGCCAUUCUCGCUGUGCAGCUCGGCGAGGGGGUGUUCUGGGCGUGUGCUGGCCGUCUGAUGGUGGGGAUGGAGAGGGUCUCGCAUAGGAUUCGGAGGCAGUUGCUCUGCGCCGUGAGUUCCUCGUCGCCUUCUUCUCUUUUUAUCUCCCGAGCCUUGACUUGGAUUUGGAGAAGCAGAGAACAAAAGGCAUCUCUCACUUUGGUUUCCCCUUUUCCUCUCGGUGAUUUGUGCUUUGCGGUUGAGAGCUUGGACUCCAAUCGUGGCCUUGGCCUAAGCACUUGCAGCACGGGAGGUCUCUUGUUGGUGCUCGGAGCUACGCUGCCGAGGUUCGUCCGCACUACAGAGGUGGUGCGGCUGAGGUAUUGUAUCUCCGUCUUCCUCCAUCCGACGAUAUAGCCGGGUGAUUGGAUUUCUGGGACUGCAGCUCUUGCUGUGCCUUGCCUCACUCUUCAGCCCUUCCAGCAUACUCACUUGAUAAGAUCACCAUGUUCUGAUUAGGAGAAGUCUGAACUCAUGUGUGCUGAUUUAGAUUGAGAAAUCUAUCACUGCUUAUUACAUCUUAUUCCUGGUUCUGAGCAGCAAGUACUUUUGAAUUCAGCAAAUUGUGGAGUUUUUCAUCACUUAGUUGCCUGAUAUAGAAUCCAGUGUAUGUUCUGUCCCUUGUGCAGAAAGAUUUUAACCUUCCGGGAUUAGUUCUGUGAAGGUUCUGUGUUGGCCAUGUUCUGAAUUCUGAGUUUCAGUAAAGAUCCUUUUGGAGGCCAUGUGCUGAA